UACGAAGGGGGCUAGCGUUGCUCGGAAUCACUGGGCGUAAAGGGUGCGUAGGCGGGUCUUUAAGUCUGGGGUGAAAUCCUGGAGCUCAACUCCAGAACUGCCUUUGAUACUGAGGAUCUUGAGUUCGGGAGAGGUGAGUGGAACUGCGAGUGUAGAGGUGAAAUUCGUAGAUAUUCGCAAGAACACCAGUGGCGAAGGCGGCUCACUGGCCCGAUACUGACGCUGAGGUGCGAAAGCGUGGGGAGCAAACAGG
rnacentral:rRNA from 1 species